rnacentral:sRNA from 1 species
CCGGCAGAGCUGCUCGCGCCUUUUAUCGGCGAUAUUGCCGCCGAAGGCAUCGGGAAAGUCCUUCAUGGUGGCGCCUCCUUUGCGCGUAAAAGCCUUCAGCGCCAGCAACGCUAUGCGGCGGAAGUGCUGACUGAGGAGUGGCGAAUGGCGCCCGGGCCACUGGAAGUUGCAUGGUUUGCGGAAGAAACCGCUGCUGUUGAACGUGCGGUUGAUGCGUUAACCAAACGGCUGGAAAAACUGGAGGGCAAAUGA